CCCACUCCAAACUAGUCGCUAAACAACCCUAGCCCUUUCCCCUCGAUCCUCACGGCCCCCUCUCCUCCUCGUUCGUCACCGCUGCUGCCUUCUACCCCCCUCCACACCGCCUUCCUUCUCUUCAUUGUCGAGCCGAGGGCCUCGCCCAGGCGGCCGCCGCCGGGCUCGGCCUCGCCGCCUCCCUCCACAACCGUGCGCACGAUCGACAAGGAUCUCCCGGCCGCCGCCACCGGCCGGGGGAGAACGGAUGGAAGAGUAGAAGAAUCGCCCUCCGACCACGUUGCUAGCGGCCGAUGAUAGAUAGCCCAAUCGAUCUACCUCGUCUCCCGUUGUUCAUCGUUCCUCCCUGCCUCCUGCUUCUCCAUCCAUCGAUUGAGCCUAGGCGGCAGGGAUCAAGAUCCGAGGCGGCACACAUCAUCCUCCCAUUUCGCUUCUGCCUACCAUCGAGCCUAGAGAUGACCGUGGCAAGGAGCAUGAGAGGGGUCAUUGGAUGAGGUGGUCCAUGUUGAGGAAGAGGGUGUCUGUCAUGCUAGUUUUCCUCUCUUUCUUGAUCAGAUUUUGUGGUCAAAACAAGGGAUCUGAUUUGAUGUUGAUUUUCCUCUUCGAGUUCUUCUCCAUGGCCUUGUUGUGGUUGCACCAUGGUCCAUGGGGAACAAUAAGAACACCUCUGCUACAACUGAAGUCUGGACCUCCACCAAGAAUGACAUCUCUAGAUGAUCAAGAUAUGGCAAAGCCCUUCAUGGGAUUCAAGUGGAAGAUGCAACAUAUGUGGUGCCUUAUGUAAGCUAAGCUGGGUUAUUAGAACUAAUUGUUCUUCAGGUAUUCCUUUAAAAAAUAUGAUUUUGACAUAACCAUGGUGGCUCUUUUGUAGUGUUUGGUUUUCUUGGAGCAACUCCAACAGGCCGACCCAAAUGGACGGCGAUUUUGUCCGCUUUUUGUCCGUUUGGGUCGGCCAGGCGAACACGAGCGUCCACUUCCGCGUUUCGGCCGGCGCGUGCGCGACCCAUUUUGACGGUGUAAAAAAACUAAAUGCAUGCAUAUUUAACAUAAAAACUAAAUUAAUUAAACAUUAAUGCCGACCACAAAGUCCGGCGGGAGUCCACGCGUCCACAUUAGCUUUUGUGCGGCUGGGGUGGCUGGGGAGGCUAGGGUUUGCUUGUCGGCGACGGGGGAGAGAGCGUGGCCUAGAUGGGGACGGGAACUGGAUGAGGACGGCCCCGCCUCAUUGUCGGCUUAAGAAGGACGACCGCCGUCACUGACGUGUGGGCCUGUGGUCAUAAAUUAAGCUGACCGCCGAGGGGGAGGGUAGUUGGGCGACCGCCUGGUAGGGCCGCGGCGGACAUCGAGAAGGCACGCGUGGCGUCUGUUCCGCGUCUGCGCCAACGCAUUUGGGGCGCAAAUUCGGGCGGCAAAUGCGUCGGCGCGGACGCAAAGCGGACGCGUUUUGGGUUUGGGUCGGUUCGUUGGGCCUCCACUUUUGUCCACGCUGACCCAAACGGAUGGCGGCGGACGAAAUGGGUCGCCCCAUUGGAGUUGCUCUAGGAAUUUUUUUCCUUUGGCUAACAGAUAUUAGACAUGUGUGAGAUUCACAUACAUUAGUUGCCCGGUAGCUUCUCAUCAGCAGUUUGGCUUUGUUUCCGUCUAUAUGCUUGUGAGCUCCAGCAACCAUUGUAUCCUGCAAAUUGUUUCUAUGCAAUGUCAAUUUCUUUAUCGCUCAUUUUUGGGAGUACUCAGCUGAUUCAUAUGACACCAUUAAUAAAGUUUUUGUUUCAGACAUCCAAUCAGUCAUUCAUUGGCACUUUACUCAUGUGAAGCCCCUAUAUUAUUUGUCAAAAUGUAUCAUUUUGAUGCAUUACCACAUUAGAAUUGGUUCAAAUCUUGGUUUAGUCCUGAAUGUAAUGUGCCUCCCUUUGUGGGUCUAGCAUUAUUCCUUCAUCCUUGACACUACUGGGAUUCAACAUUAUGCAGGUUAGCAUCACCUCAGAAUAUAACAUCAUCUAUGUUGAAGUGGUGUAUUUGUACUACUCUUUACCCACCAUGGUGAGUUGCUGCUUUGUUCCCAUCAAGGUGAGAUGUUUCUUCAUUACCUUGCUUGUAUCCUAUUGGAUAAAAUGUCUAUGAACUGAUCCAUGCUACAUUUCAUUCCCUACUCUCUUGUGCUGGAAACUUUUGGUUCUCUGUUGGUUGUUGGGUUUCUCCAUAUAUGCAUCUUGUUACAACAAGGUUGAAUGCCUUUUGUUGCCUUGCUCAUUUAGUGUUUGCGGAAAGAUCCAUGGGAUAAUGUGUUGGUGCAGAUAGACUGCCCGUAUGCAGAACCUAUCCUUAGAUUUUGUCUGGAAUAAUGUUUUCGUGCUUACAGUUCUUGUGGUGAUUUGUGCUGAAAAAUCUAUGGGCUGAUGUAUUGGUGUGGUCAGCCUGCCUGUGCAGAAUCUUUGUUUACAUUUUGUCAAAAUGUUACGUUCUUGCUUAAUUUUCUCAUGGUGGUUUGUCCCUAUAGAUAAAUCGUCUGUGUGUGUAUGAUGUAUUGUGUCUGAUGCAUGUUUAUGUAGUUGUCCGAUGUAUGUCUAUAUAUUUCUCUAUUUACUAAAACUGUAUAAUUAUAUAUGGUUAGAGCAGCAGAAUCAAAACUAAUUAUUGUCAUGCUAGAAUUGGUUCAAUGUUGUUUGCCUCCUGAGGUAUUGACAUGUUUUGCAACAUUCUAUUCAAAACAAGGUGGGGAGGGCUCCGGAUGGCAACAUCAGAGUAUAACGAUAUUGCUUUAAGCUUGCUUCUUUCUUUGCUUCGUUCACGAGUUCCAGAUGCAUGCAGUGUGCAUAGGACAAUGUUGCGGAGGGUUCAAUUUCUUAUUUUUCAGAUUUUGCAGUAACAGGCAUGUGUAUAAUAGAAUUAACUAAACUGGUGCUUACGGGUUUCGGUGCAUGACUUCUACUUGCUCGAUUAGUUAGCUGAACUAUUUGUUUAGAGAUUUUAGUGCAGAGUGAUCCUCCAGGAAAUGGCAAGAGAGUUAAAGUAUCAUAUUAGACUAUUUUUGUGGCCUGUUGCUUUCGAGGCCGGGAAUUGGAGCACUCGUAGGAAGCCAUUCGGGUUAUAGAUAUCAUAUUGAGACAACACUCUGCCAAGUGGUAUGUUUGUUUCUAUGUACUUCUGGGAGCUAAUUCACCAUCUUGAUUUUGGCUGGGAGGUGUGACAUGGUGUGGCAUAUAGAGGUAAUUUGGUGUCCUCUCUCUUUGCCUCUUGCUUCCUCCAACACUCUGGUUUUGAUUGUGUUGAUGCCGCAUACAUUUUAACUUUGUAAGUAUGUUGUUAUAAUCAUACUUAUGUCUAGCCAAAGUCUAUAGGUUGGACCUUAUAAUUUUAUAAUCAUUAGACCCAAUCUUUGUAUCUACUUUGCCUCUUGUACCUUGGUUAGCAAAAAAAUUGUGCUAAGGUGUUAGUGAUGGUUGUUCUACAUCUGAAGGCAGCUUUAUUGCCCAUAAUCUGCAUCCUCUUUUCUUUGUAAAGAAAUACUCAUUUUGCUCUACUAAACUGAAAAUUCCACUUGAAAUUAUUUAUUUUUAUGAUAUAUGGUCGUGCAGCUGUAAUGUGAUCAGAGAUCAAGUUAAAAUAUGAUGGAAAAGGGAUAAGAAAUACAGGUUGUAUGAGCAAAAACAUCUAGAACAUAUGGUUGUUUAUUAUUUAUGCUUCUAUUAUUGUAGUGAAAGAGAUCAGUUAGUAAUGUUAACAUAAUUCACUCUCUUAAGCAUGUUUCUGUUGUAAUGGUUAGUUGUCACAGUGCAUGUAUUUGAGCCCAUCAUUAGGUCUCUAUUGUUGUUCAAAUUAUUUUUUAGGAAACUAUUUGAUCUUCUGUAGGCCAUUUGUUCUCUAUUGUUUUUCUUUGGAAGUUUCUCCAUGAUGGUACUUUCCACCAGGAAACCGGAAAAAGAAUCAAGGCCGGUGACCUGCUUUUGUCCUAAUGGGCAUCCCUUCGUCGAAUGAAGCUUCAACCUGAGCAAGGGCAUGCUUGCAGAUGAUGUAUCUGUUUAACGUUUGUUAGAAGAGGCGACCGCUUGGUUGAUUUCGUUUUGCACGUUCUGUAAAAUAGACUUAGCAACAAAGCUUCGACAAUUUGUUCGAUGUCAUCUCCUUUUCAAACAAUAUAUCAUCUUCUGGUUCUUUAAUCUGUAAUGUAUAUUCUAUGACUAUCCAAACUAUUAUUUGUACACCAACUCAAAAAUUGUGAAUCAAUGAGCACAUAUUCUAAGACAA